rnacentral:rRNA from 1 species
AGAGUUUGAUCAUGGCUCAGAACGAACGCUGGCGGCAGGCUUAACACAUGCAAGUCGAACGCCCCGCAAGGGGAGUGGCAGACGGGUGAGUAACGCGUGGGAACCUACCCAAUUCUACGGAACAACUGAGGGAAACUUCAGCUAAUACCGUAUACGCCCUACGGGGGAAAGAUUUAUCGGAGUUGGAUGGGCCCGCGUUGGAUUAGCUAGUUGGUGAGGUAACGGCUCACCAAGGCGACGAUCCAUAGCUGGUCUGAGAGGAUGAUCAGCCACACUGGGACUGAGACACGGCCCAGACUCCUACGGGAGGCAGCAGUGGGGAAUAUUGGACAAUGGGCGCAAGCCUGAUCCAGCCAUGCCGCGUGAGUGAUGAAGGCCUUAGGGUUGUAAAGCUCUUUCAGUGGGGAAGAUAAUGACGGUACCCACAGAAGAGCCC